rnacentral:rRNA from 1 species
UACGUAGGGUGCAAGCGUUGUCCGGAAUUAUUGGGCGUAAAGAGCUCGUAGGCGGUUUGUCGCGUCUGCUGUGAAAACUCAGGGCUUAACUCUGAGCUUGCAGUGGGUACGGGCAGACUAGAGUGCGGUAGGGGAGACUGGAAUUCCUGGUGUAGCGGUGAAAUGCGCAGAUAUCAGGAGGAACACCGGUGGCGAAGGCGGGUCUCUGGGCCGUAACUGACGCUGGAGGAGCGAAAAGCAUGGGGAGCGAACAGG